rnacentral:lncRNA from 1 species
GUUACAACCUGCGUAAGUUUACAAAGGCUGCGCUGGUAAAUUCAGGCGGCCGGGGGCGGGCCCGCUGCGCUCUCCGGGCCUCCUCCCGCCGCGUCUCCGGCUGCAGCCGCAAACCCAGGCCCCGUGGAGAAAGCGAUCCAGAACCGCAGUUGCCCGCUGCUCCUUCUGUCUCGGAUUUGCGCACACAGACAGCCCCUCCCCCACGUGUUGGCGACUGUUCAUCAUUCUUCUCUUCCAACAAUCAGUCUCAUCUCGAUUCGGAUCCACUGAGAACCAGUCCCCUACAAAAAAACUCCUCGCGCAGCCCAGCGAAGAGCUCUGCGGGACUCCGCAGCGCCCAAACUCAGUUCGGGCCCGGAGAGAUUCUCUCCUACUGUGGGGUUUUCAAUCAAUUCUCAUCUGUCGCUGGGGCAUAGGAGAGGUGCGAGGUUUGGGGAGAGCUAAAGGAGAAUGUGCUCUGAGGUUCCUGCCUUACUGAAGGCUAGUUCUGGCCGGGCUUUUGACUACUCGGUCUAUGUGGACAGAGCCAAAUAUUCAAGAGCAAAGAUCAUGUCUUAUAAUGAGAAGCAGCACGAUAUGAUGGAAGCAGCUGAAGUUUCACAGUUAAACAGAUCAUCUCAUUUUAUGGGCAGUGAAACUGAAGAUUAAAGAAAUGAAUCAACUUGUCCAAAGUCACACUGCUGUUAAGUGGUGGAGCCUGGAUGAGAAUCCAGGGUAGUAUAAUUCAAAAGCUCAUAAUAUUCCCACUUCCUUCCUUCACACCCCUGAACAAUGACAAGUGAUCGAACUAUGUGACGGCGAUAUUGUUUGAUCCUAACGUGUACUUGGAUCCUUUCUGCACUGGUCAGGGCACAUAUCUGGAUUUAUUGAUGUCUCGUGUUUUUACACUUUGAAACUGGGAAGAAUAAAUUAGAGAGUGGAAGUAAGUACAAGAGUAACCAA